AUAACGAUAAUGCGUACAAUACUGAUAAGAAACAAUGUUUAUAAUGUAUUGCGUAUAUCAUUAAAUAGAACCACAGUUACCGCAUAUCAUAUGUUAUAUCAUACAAGUUUUCUUUGCCCACAUUUAUUUGCGGACUCAGUAUUUCUCAAGUUGUGGAAGAAAACCUUAUUCCAUGUGUGAAUUAGGCCAUAUCAUUUGGCCAUAAACUGAGCCAUUUGAAGUUUGAAAUUCAUGUGCAUCUGUCUCAUCGGAGACUGCAGACUCGCUGUCAAAAUAUCAACUUGUCUGAUUCAAAUGCACUCAUGGCUCUUAAAGGGGAUGGGAGCUGGCACUCUCAUUGGUUUAUUGCACGUUACACCCAAACCACACCUACGGGUAAUUAGGCUAAUUCAGACCAACCCUUUUUAGAUAUGCGCUGGGCGCAAGAGUAAUUUUACACGCCGGUAAAAUAGCGACAUCGCCAUAGAUCCGCCCACAAAGCUACUUGCGCUUGGCGCUUCUCACUUGUGUUUCAGACCGUUAAAAUAGGGCCCUUUAUGUUUAAAGUAUAGACCGUCGCGAUUCCCAUUGAAACGAAUGGCCCGUUGAUUAUUCUUCAAAACGAGCUCUGGUAAAUUGUGAAAAAUGAAUUUAACUGUAAUCAGACAACGCAGUUAUAUGCUAUAGACCAGUGAGUAUCUGUGGUAUAAAGGCUUGGACGAAUUUCAAAUUAUAAAUAUGUAAACUUUAUGUUGAAAGUAUGGACCGUCGUGAUUCCCAUUGAAACAAUGUCGUGGUGAUUCUUUUAUUUUUGUUGGUUUUCGUUUACAGAUUUUUCCUAAACGGUUAUGAUUUUCUACCGGUUACACAUGUACCCGUGCACACCCCUACUAUGAACCAACAU